GGGAGGCAGCAGUGGGGAAUAUUGCACAAUGGGGGAAACCCUGAUGCAGCCAUGCCGCGUGUGUGAAGAAGGCCUUCGGGUUGUAAAGCACUUUCAGUAGGGAGGAAGGUAGUGUAGUUAACACCUGCAUUAUUUGACGUUACCUACAGAAGAAGCACCGGCUAACUCCGUGCCAGCAGCCGCGGUAAUACGGAGGGUGCGAGCGUUAAUCGGAAUUACUGGGCGUAAAGCGCAUGCAGGCGGCCUGUUAAGUCAGAUGUGAAAGCCCGGGGCUUAACCUCGGAAUUGCAUUUGAAACUGGCAGGCUAGAGUCUUGUAGAGGGGGUAGAAUUUCAGGUGUAGCGGUGAAAUGCGUAGAGAUCUGAAGGAAUACCAGUGGCGAAGGCGGCCCCCUGGACAAAGACUGACGCUCAGAUGCGAAAGCGUGGGGAGCAAACAGGAUUAGAUACCCUGGUAG
rnacentral:rRNA from 1 species